rnacentral:rRNA from 1 species
UACGUAUGUCGCGAGCGUUAUCCGGAAUUAUUGGGCAUAAAGGGCAUCUAGGCGGUAACUCAAGUCAGGGGUGAAAACUUGUGGCUCAACCAUAAGCUAGCCUUUGAAACUGAGUGACUAGAGUAUUGGAAAGGUGGGCGGAACUACACGAGUAGAGGUGAAAUUCGUAGAUAUGUGUAGGAAUGCCGAUGAUGAAGAUAGCUCACUGGACGAUAACUGACGCUGAAGUGCGAAAGCUAGGGGAGCGAACAGG